rnacentral:rRNA from 1 species
AACGAACGCUGGCGGCAGGCCUAACACAUGCGAGUCGAGCGCGCCCUUCGGGGUGAGCGGCGGCCGGGUGAGUAACGCGUGGGAACGUGCCCUUCUCUGCGGAAUAGCCUCGGGAAACUGAGAGUAAUACCGCAUACGCCCUUUGGGGGAAAGAUUUAUCGGAGAAGGAUCGGCCCGCGUUGGAUUAGGUAGUUGGUGGGGUAAUGGCCCACCAAGCCGACGAUCCAUAGCUGGUUUGAGAGGAUGAUCAGCCACACUGGGACUGAGACACGGCCCAGCCUCCUACGGGAGGCAGCAGUGGGGAAUCGUAGACAAUGGGGGCAACCCUGAUCGAGCCAUGCCGGGUGAGUGAUGAAGGCCUUAGGGUUGUAAAGCUCUUUCAGCUGGGAAGAUAAUGACGGUACCAGCAGAAGAAGCCCCGGCUAACUCCGUG